UACGAAGGGGGCUAGCGUUGUUCGGAAUUACUGGGCGUAAAGCGCACGUAGGCGGCUCGAUCAGUCAGGGGUGAAAUGCCAGGGCUCAACCUUGGAACUGCCUUUGAUACUGGAGACCUUGAGUCCGGGAGAGGUGAGUGGAAUUGCGAGUGUAGAGGUGAAAUUCGUAGAUAUUCGCAAGAACACCAGUGGCGAAGGCGGCUCACUGGCCCGGAACUGACGCUGAGACGCGAAAGCGUGGGGAGCAAACAGG
rnacentral:rRNA from 1 species